rnacentral:rRNA from 1 species
GACGUAGGGCGCGAGCGUUGUCCGGAUUUAUUGGACGUAAAGAGCUCGUAGGCGGUGUGUCACGUCGGCCGUGAAAACCUGCAGCUUAACUGUGGGCGUGCGGUCGAUACGGGCAUCACUGGAGUUCGGCAGGGGAGACUGGAAUUCCUGGUGUAGCGGUGAAAUGCGCAGAUAUCAGGAGGAACACCGGUGGCGAAGGCGGUUCUCUGGGCAUGUCCUGACGCUGAGGAGCGAAAGUGUGGGGAGCGAACAGG